ACAGGCUGCAGCAGCUCCAUCCUUACACAGAGACGCUUGCUUCUUGGUGCCUGUAGAGGGAGCUGCAGUGACAGCGCAGCACACAGCUCCUCUCAGGAGGUACUGUACUUGUACGUGAGGUGAAAGAGAAAAAGGCUGGUGACGGUGAGGGCACUGGGUAGGCAGUGGAUGUGUCCAAUACUCUCACUGAAUCCAGUUCACUUAAGUCUUUGCAGUGGCGACGGUCCUAAGAGGAGCCCAGUCCAGUGCCCAGGAGAAACACUGGACUGCAGGAGAAACAGCCCAGGCAGCUUGGAACUGGAGGAUAGCAGUGGUAUUUUGGUUCAAGUUGCAUCUUUUACGCCUGGAUAUGAUGAAAAGCAAAGGACACUGGAGGGAAUUUAAUUGCAAAGGAUUCCAUUGUGUUCUUUAAUGUGAUUGUUGUAUAUUAUAUGCUGUAUUGUAAAUAAUGUCAUUUUUAUCAGAAAAACAACUGCAUGUUUAUGUAUCUGUGCAGGAUAAUGUCAACAACUACUGUAGCAAUUUUCUGUUUUUACUGAAAUGUUCCCUGAGAUCUUCUGAGUAGCAUAAGCUAUGAAUCAUGUUAACUGGCUAAAUAGCAGACAAAAUAAAAAAAAAGAAAUGGCGUGAGGACAUCUUUGGCCAAAAAGUAGAAUGCCAUUAGACCACGGAUGGGGAACCUCCAGCCCGCGGACCGUAUAAGGCCCGCAAAGCCAUUUGUUCCGGUCCAACCGCUUGUUUGUCAGUGAGACA